rnacentral:rRNA from 1 species
AUACAUGCAGUCGAGCGAAUCUGAGGGAGCUUGCUCCCAAAGAUUAGCGGCGGACGGGUGAGUAACACGUGGGUAACCUGCCUGUAAGAUUGGGAUAACUCCGGGAAACCGGAGCUAAUACCGGAUAACAUUUCGAACCGCAUGGUUCGACAUUGAAAGAUGGCUUCGGCUAUCACUUACAGAUGGACCCGCGGCGCAUUAGCUAGUUGGUGAGGUAACGGCUCACCAAGGCGACGAUGCGUAGCCGACCUGAGAGGGUGAUCGGCCACACUGGGACUGAGACACGGCCCAGACUCCUACGGGAGGCAGCAGUAGGGAAUCUUCCGCAAUGGACGAAAGUCUGACGGAGCAACGCCGCGUGAACGAUGAAGGCCUUCGGGUCGUAAAGUUCUGUUGUUAGGGAAGAACAAGUACCAGAGUAACUGCUGGUACCUUGACGGUACCUAACCAGAAAGCCACCGCUAACUACGUGCCAGCAGCCGCGGUAAUACGUAGGUGGCAAGCGUUGUCCGGAAUUAUUGGGCGUAAAGCGCGCGCAGGUGGUUUCUUAAGUCUGAUGUGAAAGCCCACGGCUCAACCGUGGAGGGUCAUUGGAAACUGGGGAACUUGAGUGCAGAAGAAGGAGAGUGGAUUUCC